UUUGUGCGGCCGACUAUUGGCGCCGUGUCUUGCCAUUUGUGUGAGCUAUCUUACUUUGCCUUUCAAGUGCUUGCGUGAUGUUACCUGACCUAUGGGUAUUGGUGCUUCAUACAUAGUUGCCUCGUGGUGGACGCCUUUGGGUGUGCUGCUGCGGCCGUAUGGCGAUUGUGGCGUUGCCUCGUGGUGCUGGUUCUUCUGGCCGGUGCUAUCAAGGCAGCCUUGCUCUCGUUAUUGGUUUUGGAUGUCGCUCAUGAUAUAUAUCCUCGUGGCCCAUUUGGUUGCCUCGGGGCCUGACCCUAAGAACGCUCUCCGACUUUGAGAACAUCGUUGAACGAAUGUUGCCUCUACCUUUCCACAACUAGUGGUAGGAUUACGCAGCAUACUCGAGUCCGAUCCCCAAAUAAGUCGGACGAGCAAGACCCUAAGAAUGCUCUCCGACUUUGAGAACAUCGUUGAAGGAAUGUUGCCUCUACCUUUCCACAUCAAGUGGCAGGAGUACGCAGCAUACUCUAUUCCGAUCCCCAAAUAAGUCGGAUGAGCUUGG
rnacentral:misc_RNA from 1 species